CCAAGCAUACCAAAGUUAUAACAAUUUUAACAUUUUAACAUUUAAGGUCACAGUGACCUUGACCUUCAAAUGAAUGACAUUGAAAUGACCAGUAGUCAUCUUCUAGUACUGGCCAAUCUUUAUUUCAAGUUUGAAGACUCUAGGUACAAGCAUACCAAAGUUAUAACAUGAAAUAAGAACUUUAACAUUUUUACAUUCAAGGUCACAGUGACCUUGACCUUCAAAUGAAUGACCUUGAAAUGUCCAGUGGUUACUUACUAGUUCUGGCCAACCUUCAUGUCAAGUUUCAAGACUCUAGGUCCAAGCAUACCAAAGUUAUAACAACUUUAACAUUUUUAUAUUGAAGGUCACAGUGACCUUCACCUUCAAAUGAA